rnacentral:rRNA from 1 species
GACGAACGCUGGCGGCGUGCUUAACACAUGCAAGUCGAACGGAAAGGCCCUGCUUUUGUGGGGUGCUCGAGUGGCGAACGGGUGAGUAACACGUGAGUAACCUGCCCUUGACUUUGGGAUAACUUCAGGAAACUGGGGCUAAUACCGGAUAGGAGCUCCUGCUGCAUGGUGGGGGUUGGAAAGUUUCGGCGGUUGGGGAUGGACUCGCGGCUUAUCAGCUUGUUGGUGGGGUAGUGGCUUACCAAGGCUUUGACGGGUAGCCGGCCUGAGAGGGUGACCGGCCACAUUGGGACUGAGAUACGGCCCAGCCGCCUACGGGAGGCAGCAGUGGUGAAUAUUGCACAAUGGGCGGAAGCCUGAUGCAGCAACGCCGCGUGCGGGAUGACGGCCUUCGGGUUGUAAACCGCUUUCGCCUGUGACGAAGCGUGAGUGACGGUAAUGGGUAAAGAAGCACCGGCUAACUACGUG